rnacentral:rRNA from 1 species
UACAGAGGUGGCAAGCGUUGUUCGGAAUUACUGGGCGUAAAGGGCGCGUAGGCGGUUCGUUAAGUCCUGUGUGAAAUCCCCCGGCUCAACUGGGGAACUGCACAGGAAACUAGCGGGCUCGAGGUGGGUAGAGGGCAGUGGAAUUCCGGGUGUAGUGGUGGAAUGCGUAGAGAUCCGGAGGAACACCAGUGGCGAAGGCGGCUGCCUGGGCCUGGCCUGACGCUGAGGCGCGAAAGCGUGGGGAGCAAACAGG